UACGGAGGGUGCAAGCGUUAUCCGGAUUCACUGGGUUUAAAGGGUCCGUAGGCGGUCUAGUAAGUCAGUGGUGAAAGCCCAUCGCUCAACGGUGGAACGGCCAUUGAUACUGCUAGACUUGAAUUAUUAGGAAGUAACUAGAAUAUGUAGUGUAGCGGUGAAAUGCUUAGAGAUUACAUGGAAUACCAAUUGCGAAGGCAGGUUACUACUAAUGGAUUGACGCUGAUGGACGAAAGCGUGGGUAGCGAACAGG
rnacentral:rRNA from 1 species